CAGACAGACCUAGAGCAGUUACUGUCUACUGCUCAAGUUUCCACUACAGAUUCAAGAAAAAAGUUCCUUUAUGCUUUCUGUCUGAUUGUGGCAGCUAAGACUAAAGAGAGGAAUACAGGG
rnacentral:snoRNA from 1 species